GACAGAGGGGGCAAGCGUUGUUCGGAAUUACUGGGCGUAAAGGGCGCGUAGGCGGCACGGCAAGUCAGGAGUGAAAGCCCUGGGCUCAACCCGGGAACUGCUUUUGAAACUGCCGAGCUAGAGUGCGGAAGGGGCAACUGGAAUUCCCAGUGUAGCGGUGAAAUGCGUAGAUAUUGGGAAGAACACCUGAGGCGAAGGCGGGUUGCUGGGCCGACACUGACGCUGAGGCGCGAAAGCCAGGGGAGCGAACGGG
rnacentral:rRNA from 1 species